rnacentral:rRNA from 1 species
GACGAACGCUGGCGGCGUGCUUAACACAUGCAAGUCGAACGGAAAGGCCCUGCUUUUGUGGGGUGCUCGAGUGGCGAACGGGUGAGUAACACGUGAGUAACCUGCCCUUGACUUUGGGAUAACUUCAGGAAACUGGGGCUAAUACCGGAUAGGAGCUCCUGCUGCAUGGUGGGGGUUGGAAAGUUUCGGCGGUUGGGGAUGGACUCGCGGCUUAUCAGCUUGUUGGUGGGGUAGUGGCUUACCAAGGCUUUGACGGGUAGCCGGCCUGAGAGGGUGACCGGCCACAUUGGGACUGAGAGACGGACCAGACUCCAACGGGAGGCAGCAGGGGGGAAUAUUGCACAGUGGGCGGAAGCCUGAGGCAGAAACGCCGCGUGCGGGAUGACGGCCUUCGGGUUGUAAACCGCUUUCGCCUGUGACGAAGCGUGAGUGACGGUAAUGGGUAAAGAAGCACCGGCUAACUACGUG